GUGGUUAUUUUACCCAUUUGAGCUGCACACCUCCAGGAGGGAUGCUCAAGUGUGCUCUCGAAGAGCAGCCCUCCACAGAAAUCUUAGUGAUUCUAGUUGUUCACUAAUAUGAACCUCAUGGAGUAUAGUUGUUCUUAUUGUAAACUUUGAGGUCAUAAGACCAAAAUUACUCUUUUCAUAGCACAUGAAUUAACAUUGUUCUUUCUCCCAUUGUUGGUAUUAAUAUUCAUUUGUGCAACACACAUCAAUCCCGGAACUUAUUCCUGCUUCUUACUAAGGGGGUAAUAUUUGUAACGCUUUGUUCUCAAAUUCAGGUUGUUGGUUGCCUU
rnacentral:misc_RNA from 1 species